UUAAUUGAAGAGUUUGAUCAUGGCUCAGAUUGAACGCUGGCGGCAGGCCUAACACAUGCAAGUCGAACGGUAACAGGGAGCAGCUUGCUGCUCUGCUGACGAGUGGCGGCCGGGUG
rnacentral:rRNA from 1 species